rnacentral:tRNA from 1 species
ACCGCGAUAGCUCAGCUGGUAGAGCAUCUGCCCGGUAUGCGCGGGUCGCCGGUUCGAUUCCGGCUCGCGGCG